GACCUUCCCUUGUGACUCUGAGAUAAAACUCAGCUCUACCCUUGCCUUGACUGAUCAGGACUCCUCAGUUCAUCUUCUCACGAUGAGACUCCCUGCUCAGCUCCUCGGGCUGUUGAUGCUCUGGGUCCCUGGAUCCAGUGGGGAUAUUGUGAUGACCCAGACUCUACUCUCGCUGCCCGUCACCCCUGGAGAGCCGGCCUCCAUCUCCUGCAGGUCUAGUCAAAGCCUUCUGCAUAGUAAUGGAAACACCUAUUUGGAUUGGUACCUGCAGAAGCCAGGCCAGUCUCCACGGUUCCUGAUCUAUAAAGUUACCAAUCGGGAACCUGGGGUCCCAGACAGGUUCAGUGGCAGUGGGUCAGGCACAGAUUUCACACUGAAAAUCAGCAGGGUGGAGCCUGAGGAUGUUGGCGUUUGUUACUGCAUGCAAAGUACAAAAGAUCCCCCACAGUGGUACAGCCCCGAACACAAACCUCUCUGCUGGGUGGCCCAGCUGCCCACAUGUGUUGUUUGUCGGGGGAGCAGGCACCAUAGAGGGCAAAACAGUAAAGAAUUCAGGGGGAUGAGUUGCAGGAAGCUGCUCCUAUGAUCUUGGGGCUACACC